rnacentral:rRNA from 1 species
CCUACGGGUGGCUGCAGUGAGGAAUAUUGGUCAAUGGGCGGAAGCCUGAACCAGCCAAGUCGCGUGAGGGAUUAAGGCCCUGCGGGUCGUAAACCUCUUUUGCCGGGGAGCAGUGGUCCGGACGCGUCCGGACCGGGAGAGUACCCGGAGAAAAAGCAUCGGCUAACUCCGUGCCAGCAGCCGCGGUAAUACGGAGGAUGCGAGCGUUAUCCGGAUUUAUUGGGUUUAAAGGGUGCGUAGGCGGGCAUUUAAGCCGGCGGUCAAAUGUCGGGGCUCAACCCCGGCCUGCCGUCGGAACUGGGUGCCUUGAGUGGGCGAGAAGUAUGCGGAAUGCGUGGUGUAGCGGUGAAAUGCAUAGAUAUUAGGAGGAACACCAGUGGCGAAGGCGGCUUACUGGACUGCAACUGACGUUGAGGCUCGAAAGCGUGGGGAGCAAACAGGAUUAGAUACCCCAGUAGUC